CUACGGGGCGCAGCAGUGGGGAAUUUUGCGCAAUGGGGGAAACCCUGAUGCAGCAACGCCGCGUGAGCGAAGAAGGCCUUCGGGUCGUAAAGCUCUGUCAAGUGGGAAGAACAUUUUUUGAUCAAUAGUGCAAUGACUUGACGGUACCAUUGGAGGAAGCACCGGCUAACUCCGUGCCAGCAGCCGCGGUAAUACGGAGGGUGCGAGCGUUGUGCGGAUUUACUGGGCGUAAAGCGCGUGUAGGCGGUUUAGUAAGUCAGAUGUGAAAGCCCUGGGCUCAACCCGGGAAGUGCAUUUGAAACUGGUUCACUAGAGUAUGGGAGAGGAAAGUGGAAUUCCGGGUGUAGAGGUGAAAUUCGUAGAUAUCAGGAGGAACACCCAUGGCGAAGGCGAUUCUCUGGACCAAUACUGACGCUGAGACGCGAAAGCGUGGGGAGCAAACAGGAUUAGAUACCCGCGUAGUC
rnacentral:rRNA from 1 species